GUGAGGAAUAUUGCGCAAUGGAGGCAACUCUGACGCAGCCAUGCCGCGUGCAGGAAGAAGGCGCUACGCGUUGUAAACUGCUUUUAACCGGGAAGAAACCCCAGGACGUGUCCUGGGUUGACGGUACCGGAGGAAUAAGCACCGGCUAACUUCGUGCCAGCAGCCGCGGUAAUACGAAGGGUGCAAGCGUUAUCCGGAUUCAUUGGGUUUAAAGGGUGCGUAGGCGGAGCGUUAAGUCAGUGGUGAAAUCCUGCAGCUUAACUGUAGACUUGCCAUUGAUACUGGCGCUCUUGAGUGCGCUUGAAGUGGACGGAAUGUGCCGUGUAGCGGUGAAAUGCUUAGAUAUGGCACAGAACACCAAUUGCGAAGGCAGCUCACUAAGGCGAUACUGACGCUGAGGCACGAAAGCGUGGGGAUCGAACAGGAUUAGAAACCCCGGUAGUCC
rnacentral:rRNA from 1 species